rnacentral:lncRNA from 1 species
CAAGAAUGUAAACCAUUUCCGUUUAUAGAAGAAAGUUACAGGAGCAAGACCAGGUGGAUUAAUUGUUCAUUCUCUUCCUCUUGUUCCUGCAUUUGUGUUCUGUCUUUGUGGACAGUGUGUAUUGUCUUAUGGGAGUCACCGUCUUACGCCAAAGCUCUGAACACAUGUUUUAAAUGCUUGGAGGAGGAUUUAGUUUGCCAAAAGAUGAACCGCAUUUUUAACACAAAGACAAAUGAAAAAUUGUGGGAAGAAAGUGGAGCAAAGCAAGGCCUGCCUAAAUGUCCCCUCACCCCUCCUCCCAUGACUGGACAGUGUGUUCCCUGUUUAGAGGACCUCCAGGUCCUCAUUGUGUGUGUCAACGUGUCUGCGGAGAUCGAGCUGGACCUGGAGGCCUCUGAUGGGAAGAGUCUUUCCUACACUGCUGCCACGUGCCCUGCAGGAAGUUGGAGUCCUCCCAGUCAUUCUGGACACAUGGAGCCAAACUUCUUGACCAUCCUAAUGGCUGGCUUCAUCUUCAUCGUACUACAGAAAUGUGUCUGACACCCUCAAGAAAAUUGUUGCAUAUUUUUUUUGUUUAUUAUUCACAUGCUUGGUGGUUUUCGGUUUUAUUUUGGGUUUAAACUGCAGCUGCUAGUGAAGAUGUCAAACUACAAACGUUACAGUGAGAUAAAGCAAUCAGGCCCAGACCCAUGGCAACAUCCUGGUUGUGUUGCAGAUCUAGUUGCUGCCUGAGGAUUCCUACUUCCACAGCCCAUUGAAUAACCCUGUACUUGACCUUCUGGUCAUGCAACUGACUUGGAUUGACUCAGGCUGGGUAUCUGGAAAAUCACAUUUGUGACGACUGCUGAUGUAAAAACGUAUUUUGAAAAUACAUCUGACUGAUAACCUCCUUUCAGGGCGGCUGAAAAUGUCUGAUCUGUGAUAUUUAACUUAGAUUCAAGUCAUAUUAUCUUUUGUUGAUUGAUCAGCAAUAAACCAUGUUACCUGAAAUGCAUGUGUUUUCUUUAGGAAACUUUACACAACAUGGUUAUUUUGUUAAUUUUUUAAAAAUAACUUUUUAUUAUUGGCUCCCCUCAGAUGUGCCCAAUGAAUUGUGUUCAUUGUGUUCAUCUGCACAAAUAAAACGUUAACAUGGAA